GCGAUCGCGUUACGCGAAAUAAUAAUGUGAUAAAAUACGCAGGAACGUCGCAGGAAUUCCGCACCGCUCGAGCCUCGCCGCACGAAUACAUACGUAGUUAAGUACGCAGCGCCACACGAACGAACAGAUACGUAGUUAAGUACGCAGCGCCACACGUCGGCCGGCCGGUGACCUUGUUUACGGACACAGCGUGACGACACGCAAAAACAAUUGCUCCGUGCCAGUUGAAUAUUUGUGGCGUUCCCAAAAAAAUAUGAUUGGAUAUGAGAGUAGCUGUCCCUUAUUCUUACAUCUGUCUUUAAGCUAACAAGACUUAAAAAGAGACCGAAAGAUUGAUGUCGCAGCGUUGGACCCUUGGUGGUCCCCUCGAGUAACCGCGUUGCGCAAACAAGACGGGAGUCGAGUGAGACACGCACUCGAGCCGCAACACGAGGAAAUCUUCGUCGAAGCUUGCUUGUCAGUUCCAAGGCUAUACCUACUCGUGCGGGAGUUUGGCCGCAACGGCUCGAGAGCGAGCUAGUUGAAGGGGUAAAAUACGUUAGAGUGGAUAAGGAUCUAUGUAAUAAUCCUAGAAUCCAGUCGAUAUAUUUCGAGUCUAAUUAUAUAUCUAUGAAUAUAUAACGUAAA